AUGAAAAGUCUUCAAAUCCAAAUAAAGACAGACUGGAGGAGAAAAUAAUAGAAGGAAAUGUGGAUUGAACGGCAAACCGGACAAUAUUAUCUACCAAACGUUCAUGGAAUGUAUAUAAAACCUCCUGUACGCAUGAAGCAUGAAGAGGACCAUGCAUGAAAAGGCAAGGUGUUUCGUUCUUUUGGCAAAAUUCACAAGUUCUCAAUAUGACGAGCAGGAAAAGUGUUCUAAACUUUUGCUGUACAAGAAAAAGCUGGAAGGACUUUAUCAACGUAAUUCAAUAGCAAAGAAGAAUCAGAUAAUCACUGAAGAUGUGCUGUUUCGUAUUCUUCAAAUUCAAGAGGUUGGUAGCGUUGAACACUACCAGCUCAAUGGCUCACUCAUCAAAAUACACGUCUUGGAGGAUACGGAUAUUUAGUAUCAUCAAUGGCAUUUUUUAAAAUGAUUGAACAGAUAACUUUUAAGCUUUCGUUCUAAACGUAGCUUUUAGAAUUAUUUAGAACUAUUUAAAAAAAGCAGGAGGUAACGAUAUCGAUAUCGUGAUACCAGUUCAUGAUAUUCACUACCACAGUACCAAUAUCUUGAGACUGAAUACAGUAAGCUAUAUCUUUAAUGUAACAGAAAUGAAAAUAUUCCCUUGCUAUCACAAACCCUUUCUUGGAGAAGGUCCGGUAUUCCUACCGCGAUAACAUCAUGAAAGACAGUAGAAUCCAACCAAAAUGACCGAGUUUAAAUGACGCGAACACAUUUUUGAGUGUUGAAUGUCCUUGCUGUGUAAAAUUCUUAAUCCGAUCAUUGGACCACCCCGUAACUACUAAAUUAGAUUGUUUUGAAAUUCUUACUUAUGUGUAUUAUUCCUCUUAAAACCUUUUCCUUCGUUUUUACGACGGGAAAACGUGGAGUACAAUAGAACUUUUUCUGCAUCUAUAUCUAUA